rnacentral:rRNA from 1 species
GACGAACGCUGGCGGCGUGCCUAAUACAUGCAAGUAGAACGCUGAAGAGAGGAGCUUACUCUUCUUGGAUGAGUUGCGAACGGGUGAGUAACGCGUAGGUAACCUGCCUUGUAGCGGGGGAUAACUAUUGGAAACGAUAGCUAAUACCGCAUAACAAUGGAUGACACAUGUCAUUUAUUUGAAAGGGGCAAUUGCUCCACUACAAGAUGGACCUGCGUUGUAUUAGCUAGUAGGUGAGGUAAUGGCUCACCUAGGCGACGAUACAUAGCCGACCUGAGAGGGUGAUCGGCCACACUGGGACUGAGACACGGCCCAGACUCCUACGGGAGGCAGCAGUAGGGAAUCUUCGGCAAUGGGGGCAACCCUGACCGAGCAACGCCGCGUGAGUGAAGAAGGGUUUCGGAUCGUAAAGCUCUGUUGUAAGUCAAGAACGGGUGUGAGAGUGGAAAGCUCACACUGUGACGGUAGCUUACCAGAAAGGGACGGCUAACUACGUG